rnacentral:rRNA from 1 species
GAUGAACGCUGGCGGCGUGCCUAAUACAUGCAAGUCGAGCGAACAGACGAGGAGCUUGCUCCUUUGACGUUAGCGGCGGACGGGUGAGUAACACGCGGGUAACCUACCUAUAAGACUGGGAUAACUUCGGGAAACCGGAGCUAAUACCGGAUAAUAUUUCGAACCGCAUGGUUCGAUAGUGAAAGAUGGCUUUGCUAUCACUUAUAGAUGGACCUGCGCCGUAUUAGCUAGUUGGUAAGGUAACGGCUUACCAAGGCAACGAUACGUAGCCGACCUGAGAGGGUGAUCGGCCACACUGGAACUGAGACACGGUCCAGACUCCUACGGGAGGCAGCAGUAGGGAAUCUUCCGCAAUGGGCGAAAGCCUGACGGAGCAACGCCGCGUGAGUGAUGAAGGUCUUCGGAUCGUAAAACUCUGUUAUUAGGGAAGAACAAACGUGUAAGUAACUGUGCACGUCUUGACGGUACCUAAUCAGAAAGCCACGGCCAACUACGUG